GACGAACGCUGGCGGCGUGCUUAACACAUGCAAGUCGAACGGAAAGGCCCUGCUUUUGUGGGGUGCUCGAGUGGCGAACGGGUGAGUAACACGUGAGUAACCUGCCCUUGACUUUGGGAUAACUUCAGGAAACUGGGGCUAAUACCGGAUAGGAGCUCCUGCUGCAUGGUGGGGGUUGGAAAGUUUCGGCGGUUGGGGAUGGACUCGGGGCUUAUCAGCUUGUUGGUGGGGUAGUGGCUUACCAAGGCUUUGACGGGUAGCCGGCCUGAGAGGGUGACCGGCCACAUUGGGACUGAAAUACGGCCCAGACUCCUACGGGAGGCAGCAGUGGGGAAUAUUGCACAAUGGGCGGAAGCCUGAUGCAGCAACGCCGCGUGCGGGAUGACGGCCUUCGGGUUGUAAACCGCUUUCGCCUGUGACGAAGCGUGAGUGACGGUAAUGGGUAAAGAAGCACCGGCUAACUACGUG
rnacentral:rRNA from 1 species